GGCUGGAAGGAUGAGGAGCCCAGAGAGCGUGAUAGCGUGUGCUUGGUGUUUUGGAGCGUGGGGGAGAAACCUGGAGGGUCUGUCAGCUUGUGCCCCCUCGGCUCUCUGCAGCUGUGGGUUUUUACCAGAGCUCUUCCAAGGCUCACAGCACGGCUGCCCAGCCCCACCAAGGGUUUGGCGAUGGCACAGGGAGCCUAUAAAAGGGUCCCUUAAUGGGAACUAACAGAUUGAGGUUACAGGGGAAGAACUAAGUGUUCUUAUUCCUCUACACUCGGCAGCACCUGGUGCAAUCCUCCAGCCCCUCUUGCACCCACGUUCCCUCUUGGGAGCGAGGAUGGAGGCACUUCUGGUUGCGGCACAGCCAAAACGCAUCGUAACCCCAUCCCGGACAAAGGCUGGCACUACGGAGUCAGUGACACCACCCAAAGCAUCGCGGAGCUGCUUCCCCCCACCAAUCUCGGGCGCUUUGCAGCGCGUGGGAGAACCAAGGCACAAGGAAGCUCUCUCUGCCUCACCAUGCUGAAUCCAUCCCAUGGCCUCCCUGCGUCCUCGGCCCGGGAAAAGGUGAAAAGAUCCUGGGCUGAGCUCUGCUCUGAGAGCGCGGAGAAAAGAGCCUUGGAAAGGUACAGGGGGACCUCAGCAGACACGGUCCUGCCUUCUCCUGCUUGGAAACUCUCGGUGUGGCUCCGGACCAGAGGAGGCGACUUCAACACCUCACUGUCCCAGGGCUGUUUUCUCUUACCUCCCCCAGCAGAAACGACAUUGGGUUUCACGCCACGCACAAAGAACUCAGAGGUGGACAGCAAGGCCAGGUUGAUCUCCUGGCUGGUGGGUGCUGGAAGCAGAGGGCACCAUCCCCAUCACCCAAGCACCCCGGGGUGUCAGGGCUGAUUUUACAUAGGACUCACAUUUUGCUUGUUCAACUCCCUAAAGCAGCUGGCUGUGGGCUCAGAUUGGUACUAGCAACCGGGGAAGAGUGUGGCUGGGGUGGCUGAGCCCUUAACGGUGAGGGGGACGGUGCCCGUGUCCCCAGGCCGGGUACCCACCACCCCCUGCAGCGGCUCUGCCGCCUCCAACCUCCCGAGGUUUCCUGCGGAGUUUCGCAGCGCUGCGAGUCGGAAACCCCCACCACACCGGUCCCUGGAAACGCCAAACAGAGCCAGUUCGAAGCAUUAAAGCGGCUGCUUCCUGGCAAAGGGGAAUUUGGCUUCUCUGUAUAAGUCUGGCGUUGCAAUCUCAGUUUCCCAGGUUGUAAUGGAGGGGAAAACAUCAGCAAUCGGGCUUCACACCAGCAAAUCUCCCUGCCCCGUCCUGGCCCCUGGGCUGGAAUAACUCUACGUGCUCCCACGCUUCAUCCUUCCUCCACGCAGGCUUUGGCAGCUGGUUUUAAGACUCCUUAAGCGCACCUCCAGCAUCCAGCAUGAACCAGCAAGAGGCACUUUUUAACAACCAGAUGUGAUCUCCAAAACAAAGCAGCGCUCGGAAAAGAUCCCUCCAACAAACCCUCUCUGCUCAGCACCUGCUCACCCCAUUACCUGGCCCCUGUCCAGUUUGUUUGAUUAAAGUCUAUCUAUUAAAUUUUGCGUCUAUAGAAAGCCCUGCUCAGCAAAGCACAGGAUUGGCACUGGUUUGUAAAGGGGGCUGGAACAGCUUAUAGGCGAGUGAGCCAAACACUUUGGGAUAUUCACAGGCAAAGUAAUCCAAGUCCACGGCUCCCAUCGGCACCUGGGCAGCCGGCACUCCAGAACGUGUAAUCACCAUCCCGGCAGCAGGUGCAUUUUCCAAGCAGAGCUGAACCCGCUAACACGCCUGUUUGCAUUUGCCAUCCCCAAACAGCACUCAUUUCCAUUUUAAUUUUCCAUUUACAAUCCUCACCGGGCCAGGCGAGUCGGCAGCGAUGUGAGCGGGAUGCAGGGGCUGGGGACGUGAGCUCGACAGCCCAUCAACAGACCGUGACUUUGGCAAAAAAAAUGAGAGCAGCGAAAGAGCUGGCGCAGGAGCAGCACAAGGAGGGGAAGUGGCAACAAGGGCUGUGCUACACUCAGCACUUUUUAAAAAUGGUCUCAGCAAAGGCUCUGAAUCAGGGCCAGGACGUAAAGUCACCCCGUGCUGCCCACAGCCCCGGCUCUCCGGAGCUCCCCGACACGCGGCUGCAGGCUGCUGGGGUUCAGCGUCCUCCUCCUAAAUCCCAGAGCUGCAAACACUCUUGGCGUGACUGGAACAGAUCGUGCUGAUAGCACAAAUCUCCAGAGAGCGGUGUGAAGUGGCACCUCAUGCUACAGACACCAGAAGCUGCAAAAAGCAACAGACGAAGCACCGUCUCCAACUCCUAUGGCCGGCACCUGCCUUGAAGGACAUGCGUGGGCUCCAAUCACAGCCCAGAUGUCCCUGGUGUCACCACAGCUCUCGGGGCCAGAGAGGCCGAGCGUGCCCCCCGUACCACCGCACGUCUCCCCCAAAAUCCCCCAGCGAGGUUCAUCAAAAACAAACCAGCACCAAGACGGCCAGAAGCCAGCCCCACCAGCCUGUGCCAAUCCAGUGGUCAGACACUGUCCAUCCCCGACGGCUGGGUUAGCUCCAGCAGAGCCGACAGGAGAAAGAAAAAAGAGCAACUCACCUUUUUUAGCUGUCUCCAUCUCCUCUUCGGUCCAGCGAGAGCUUUCAUUCAUCUCCAGAGAAGCUGGAAGGAAGAAGGAAAGAAGAGCACUCAGCAAACCCAGCGAGCUCAGAGAUGCUCAAACACCCAAAGCCCGUCCAGUGCCCGGUUUCCCAGAGGCACGACAGAACGCUGUGCCGAGCAAACAUACUUCUGCAGAGAAGGCUGUCGCGAUGGGGGCUCUCAAGGCUUUUCCACGCACAGUAACCCGUGCACAGCAUCCCCCCAGGAUGCGUCUCAGUGAUGCAAAACCUCUACUUUGGGAGUGGAAGCGAAGCCAGAUGGCUUGAGGGUGGCAGCAGAUUUCCUGCGGAUUCGGUGCCAUGCACCCUGGCCCGCCAACAACAGGUACCGAAGACGGAGCCGACUCCGGCUGUGUGCUUUGGAGGUGGCAGACGCAGGGUGGGACCGUCACCCUCGGCGGAGACGGAGAAACAGCAUCACCUUGGCACUGACUUUGGCUGAGCGUGCUUGACUGCGGGCUCCCUCAGAGCCACCGGCGGGCUCUGGGGCACCUCAGAGCCGCUUCCAGCAAUGCCGGGGGGUUCACCCGGAGCGGUGCCCAUCGCAGCGGGACCAUGCUGCUCCGGCCGGGGGAGUCGAGGGGUGUCAGCACCCGAUGCUCCCCCUCUACCGCACCCUGCGGCCGGGGACAUCAAGGUCCUGCAUAAAGCCUUCACUAUGCACCAGUCCCGCUGGCAGCCUGGCACUAGAGCAAACCCUACAAUAACAAACCAGGGUGUGAGUCAGAGGCAAAAAACAACUCGGUAAGGAAACAGAUUUCCGGCUCAGGCUGCCAAGGGGUUAUUACUCUAAACAACAGGCAAAGCAUUAUUUCAACAGUGAUGAGAGAUGUUUUGACAGUGUCCUUUUAAAAUGGAAAACAGGCUGAUAGGUUCAGGAUAAAGAAUAUGGGUGAGGAGAGAAGGAAGCGUCUUCCAAGAAGCUCUACAAGAAGCCAAGACCCUGCAGGAGGACAACACGGACUCGGAUGCCCACGGCAUGAGGCAGAGGAAUCUCCUUCACAGGCGGCUGAGCACAACCGCAGGUGUCACCUCCUGAAGCCAGCGCAGGUCACCACCUCCCCCAGAAACGCUGUCCCUGGGGACACUGGCCAAGAGGGAGGGAAAUGGAUACCUCACCAUGUCCCCCGGCCGAGCCACGGCCACGAUGCUCGUUUACGUAAAAGUGAGCGUCCCCGCCGCGCCACGCGAGGCCCUUCACUCAGCUUGAGGAUGACUGUUAUUGCAUGGUAAAGAAACGCCAAAGAAAUGGCCCGUUUGGUUUGAUUAAUGGUAUUUACUGAGGUUGCGCAGUUAUGAAACAGAUGCCUACGGGGAGCUCCAGCAUGCUGCAGUUAAACCACAAUACGGUUUUGUGUUGUUUUUUAAUGUUCAAUUGGUAUUUAAAACGCAAUAACUUUCUUAGCCAACCUAAAUUAAAGCACUAUUGGAGAGA